rnacentral:rRNA from 1 species
UGGAAGUAAAAAGUCGUAACAAGGUUUCCGUAGGUGAACCUGCGGAAGGAUCAUUACCGAGUGUAGGGUUCCUAGCGAGCCCAACCUCCCACCCGUGUUUACUGUACCUUAGUUGCUUCGGCGGGCCCGCCAUUCAUGGCCGCCGGGGGCUCUCAGCCCCGGGCCCGCGCCCGCCGGAGACACCACGAACUCUGUCUGAUCUAGUGAAGUCUGAGUUGAUUGUAUCGCAAUCAGUUAAAACUUUCAACAAUGGAUCUCUUGGUUCCGGCAUCGAUGAAGAACGCAGCGAAAUGCGAUAACUAGUGUGAAUUGCAGAAUUCCGUGAAUCAUCGAGUCUUUGAACGCACAUUGCGCCCCCUGGUAUUCCGGGGGGCAUGCCUGUCCGAGCGUCAUUGCUGCCCAUCAAGCACGGCUUGUGUGUUGGGUCGUCGUCCCCUCUCCGGGGGGGACGGGCCCCAAAGGCAGCGGCGGCACCGCGUCCGAUCCUCGAGCGUAUGGGGCUUUGUCACCCGCUCUGUAGGCCCGGCCGGCGCUUGCCGAACGCAAAUCAAUCUUUUUCCAGGUUGACCUCGGAUC